rnacentral:rRNA from 1 species
GAUGAACGCUGGCGGCGUGCCUAAUACAUGCAAGUCGAGCGAACAGACGAGGAGCUUGCUCCUCUGACGUUAGCGGCGGACGGGUGAGUAACACGUGGAUAACCUACCUAUAAGACUGGGAUAACUUCGGGAAACCGGAGCUAAUACCGGAUAAUAUCUUGAACCGCAUGGUUCAAUAGUGAAAUACGGUUUUGCUGUCACUUAUAGAUGGAUCCGCGCCGCAUUAGCUAGUUGGUAGGGUAACGGCUUACCAAGGCAACGAUGCGUAGGCGACCGGAGGGGGUGAUAGGCCACACUGGAACUGAGACACGGACCAGACUCCUACGGGAGGCAGCAGUAGGGAAUCGGCCGCAAUGGGCGAAAGCCUGACGGAGCAACGCCGCGUGAGUGAUGAAGGUCUUCGGAUCGUAAAACUCUGUUAUUAGUGAAGAACAAAUGUGUAAGGAACCAUGCACGUCUUGACGGUACCUAAUCAGAAAGCAACGGCUAACUACGUG